rnacentral:lncRNA from 1 species
CCAUCGGCGACCUACCGCUCUCCGUUUCCGACCUUCCCAUGCUGUCGUGCCACUACAUCCAGAAGGGCCUUUUCUUCCCCAGACCGCCAGUUCCUGUAGCUUCUCUUCUUCCGCUCCUCACUUCGUGUCUUGCCCGCGUGCUCUCCCUCUUUCCCGCCCUCGCGGGCCGCCUCUCCACCCGCCCCGACGGCCGCAUCUUCAUCUCCUGCGACGACUCCGGUGCCGAAUUCUACCAUGCCGCCGCCCCCUCCCUUACACUCCCUCUUCUCCUACCCGACUCCGCCGACGUCCCCGCCGCUGUCAAGUUGCUCUUCCCCCUUGACGGCGCCCUCAGCUACCACGGUCACUUCCU